rnacentral:rRNA from 1 species
UACAGAGGUCUCAAGCGUUGUUCGGAUUCAUUGGGCGUAAAGGGUGCGUAGGCUGCGAGCUAAGUUUGGUGUGAAAUCCUGGGGCUUAACCUCAGAAUUGCACUGAAUACUGGUUUGCUAGAGGACUGGAGAGGAGAUUGGAAUUCACGGUGUAGCAGUGAAAUGCGUAGAUAUCGUGAGGAAGACCAGUGGCGAAAGCGAAUCUCUGGACAGAUCCUGACGCUGAUGCACGAAGGCUAGGGGAGCAAACGGG